GAGAGAUCUUUGGAGCAUGGAUUGGAGACUUCAUUUCCAGUCGGGCGGAUCUCACACGACUUUAGGUUUUAGAGUUAAUUUCAUCAACGAGAGGCGGGACGCCUGUUUCAAUUGCUAGAGGAUGAUUCCAUUCUCGAAGUGCUAAUUCUUCAGCAAGGUCGGGAGUUCGUGUGAGAUCUCUGAUAACCGCUCCAAAGCCUGCAUUCCGAUCGAGCAAAGCUGCACCAGUGUUCAACAUUGGGAGAUUUCGAGCGUCAGGUAUUACAGCUCUGUGUUACUUUGAAUUAAUUUAUGGCUUCAACUGUUCUUAAUAUGCCUAAUAGUGUUCGAGGAAUUGAUGGUUUGGAUUGCGGCUCCUAUCUUGGGCUAAGACCUUCGCCAAGUUGAAAUUUCCUCUGUGUUCUCCUUGUCUUUUCAUUGUGAGAGUGGCGAUGAGCGCGUUGCACAUAUGAAGAAGCUCAGAUGGAGUGAUGCAGAGUGGAAAGCUGCGGUCGUGGAUGGCUGCGUUCCAGAAGCGCCUCCUGUGCCGCCAAAACCGUCAUCGCCAGUCGGAACUCCUGUGAUUCCUUUGCUGCCGUCAUCCACGUCGUAACUGAAGGUCCCCUGCACUCAGAGCAUCAUUUCAGGAAACCAACCUUUCACCUGCAAUUUUUUAUAUCCCCUAUUCCUUCAUGAAGGUACGCACUUUGUAACCAUAUUACCUUUAUUCAUUUCUUGUCUAUGAUGGUAUGCCGUUAUUUCCAUGGGCAUGCGUUAGUUUUUAGGUAAUGUAGGUCUAAAGAUUAGGAUUUGCAGGUGAGGAAACUAGAUGUUUGUGCGGAGUUAUAACGAAUGGAGUCUGUACUUCAAUUAUGCAAACAAGCUGUCGCCCAGGUAAUUUUUCGAGAUCGUUGUCUAUUUAAAUUCAACCCUUGAAAAUGAAUACUAUAGAUCUGUGGUCCAUCUAUUAUGUACAGAGUACUGA